rnacentral:rRNA from 1 species
CACCGCGGUUAUACGAGAGACCCAAGUUGUUAGACACCGGCGUAAAGAGUGGUUAGGAAGACUCAUUCAACUAGAGCCGAACACCUUCAAAGCUGUUAUACGCACCCGAAGGUAAGAAGUCCAACUACGAAAGUGGCUUUAUGUUAACUGAACCCACGAAAGCUAGGACA